UACGAAGGGGGAGCUAGCGUUGCUCGGAAUCAUUGGGCGUAAAGGGUGUGUAGGUGGCGCCGUAAGUCGGGUGUGAAAUUUCGGAGCUUAACUCCGAAACUGCAUUCGAUACUGCCGUGCUUGAGGACUGGAGAGGAGACUGGAAUUUACGGUGUAGCGGUGAAAUGCGUAGAUAUCGUAAGGAAGACCAGUGGCGAAGGCGGGUCUCUGGACAGUUCCUGACGCUGAGGCACGAAGGUCAGGGGAGCAAACGGGG
rnacentral:rRNA from 1 species